AAAAAUCGGCUAAGGAAAAUACCUCGGCAUUCGUGUCGAUGUUGGCUGGAUCCAGGAGGUUGCAGUAUGCCGAUGCCGAAUUGCAGAAGAGGAAUUGUUUCCAUUCGGCCCACCAAAUUUUUGAAUGGCUGGACAGAAAAGGGGGCUACUAUCCAGUUGUUCAGGUCAAUAGUGUUGGAGUCCGGAAUCCGGUCUCGUACCCGACUAUAGUCCAGACCUGUUGUGAGCCCAUCUCUGAACUUGACUCGGCCAGCA
rnacentral:lncRNA from 1 species